rnacentral:rRNA from 1 species
CGUAGGUGAACCUGCGGAAGGAUCAUUACUUUAUGUGAUGUUCAAAUUUGAAUUCGCAAUGAAAUGAUCGUUGUGAAACGGCUGUCGCUGGUGUCUAAGUGUUGCUGAUACGGUUGUGAACGUCCGUGGCUGUAUAUGUGGUGACAUGUUAGGACUCUAAUGAGUUUAAGACCUAAUGAGCCUCUUAAGUGAGGCCGCCAGCAACCUUUUUUUUCUCUACAUUUUAAAAAAAAAACUAAAAUUCUACCCUUAUCGGUGGAUCACUAGGCUCGUGGAUCGAUGAAGAACGCAGCAAACUGCGAUAAUUAUUGCGAACUGCAGAAGUAUUGAGCACAAAAGUUUUGAACGCAAAUGGCCGCAUUGAGGUCAAACUCUUUGCAACGUCUGGUUCAGGGUCAUUUUCUCUUAUAGCGGAAGCUUUAAUUUCUAUAAUGAUGUUGUUGCUUUAUAUUUUAAAAGGAUUUUUGUUUAUUCAUGUAUUAAAUCUAACUGUGAAAAUCAAACAAUUUUGACCUGAACUCAGUCGAGAGCACCCGCUGAACUUAAGCAUAUCAGUAAGCGGAGGAAAAGAAACUAACCAGG